AUUGAACGCUGGCGGUAUGCUUUACACAUGCAAGUCGAACGGUAACAGGUCUUCGGAUGCUGACGAGUGGCGAACGGAUGAGUAAUGUAUCGGAACGUGCCUAGUAAUGGGGGAUAACCACUCGAAAGAGUGACUAAUACCGCAUAAUAUCUCAGGAUGAAAGCGGGGGAUCGCAAGACCUCGCGUUAUUAGAGCGGCCGAUAUCAGAUUAGGUAGUUGGUGGGAUAAAAGCCUACCAAGCCAACGAUCUGUAGCUGGUCUGAGAGGACGACCAGCCACACUGGGACUGAGACACGGCCCAGACUCCUACGGGAGGCAGCAGUGGGGAAUUUUGGACAAUGGGCGAAAGCCUGAUCCAGCAAUACCGCGUGCAGGACGAAGGCCUUCGGGUUGUAAACUGCUUUUGUACGGAACGAAACGGUUCAGAUUAAUACUCUGAACUAAUGACGGUACCAUAAGAAUAAGCACCGGCUAACUACGUG
rnacentral:rRNA from 1 species